GACGAACGCUGGCGGCGUGCUUAACACAUGCAAGUCGAACGGACAGGCCCUGCUUUUGCGGCGUGCUCGAGUGGCGAACGGGUGUGUAACACGUGAGUAACCUGCCCUUGUCAUUGGGAUAUCUUUACGAAACUGGGGCUAAUAUCGGAUAGGAGCUCCUGCUGCAUGGGGGGGGUUGGUAAGUGUCGGCGGUGGGGGAUCGUCUAGCGGCUUCUCCGCCGGUUUGGGGAGUAGUUGCUUUCCAAGGCUGUGAGGGGUAGGCGGCCUGGGAGGGUGACCGGCGACAAUGGGACUGAGAUACGGCCCAGACGCCUACGGGACGCAGCAGUGGGGAAUAUUGCACAAUGGGCGGAAGCCUGAUGCAGCGGCGCCGCGUGCGGGAUGACGUCCUACGGGUUGUAAACCGCUUUCGCCUGUGACGAAGCGUGAGUGACGGUAAUGGGUAAAGAAGCACCGGCUAACUACGUG
rnacentral:rRNA from 1 species